GAGUACAUCUUGUGGGAGUGUAGCAGUGAGGAUGAUGAUGACAGUCUCUGGUCUACAGCAGUCACAUUUAUCACCUUAUUUCUAAUCAGUUUCCUUUAUAGUGCAACCAUCACAAUUGUAAAGGUAAAAUGGUUCAUAUCCAGAAUUCUCCAGUUUGACAGACAUAAUAAUGAGCACUUUGUAACAGUCAUGGAUGCUGUGAGACAGUGAAGACCUAACUGAUGUUCAAAACUCCCAAAACAAGACAAACUUAAGGCCUUUUUACACUGGGUGAUUAUAGCCCGAACAGUCUUUUGUAAGAAUGAUCCUUCCUGAUAAUUGCCCUGUAUCAAGAUGGCAAGAAAUCGACCAGGGUACAAUAACUUGUGUGUCUGUCAUUGACUAUCUUUUAUAUACACAUAAAAAUUAUAAUUUGUUGGCAGCAGCGCCUCUUGUGUGCUGCCACUUGUAAUGGAAUAGAACCGUACAAACCAUUACAAUAACGUGUGUUCAUUUGAACAUUUAUUUCCAAUAAUUGCCCUGUGUAAAAGGCUUUUAAUGGAGUGGCAACAGACUUGUUAUGUAUAUCAUGGUUUGGGGCUCGUUUCAGACUUUUUCAUUUUGUGUGUAAUAGGACAAUUCGUUAGUGAGAAUAAACUUAGUUAGGGGCAGUUUUAGAAUCAUUCUCCAACUUAUAUACUGUACAGUGGAUUUAUAAUAAAAAUUAAUUCUA